CUUUAUACAAAGAAUAACUUGUGUCCUAAACUUCCUCACAACUUUAGCUAGAAUAGAAAUUGUUUCCUUAUAAUAUAAUAGUUCUUUAUCAAAUAAUUCUGGGUACCAAUGAAUAAUAUAGUCACUAUGGUACUUUUUCAACAUUGACACGUGGAAUAUUAGGUGAAGAUGAACAUACUAGGGGGUAAAGCUAGCCUGCAUUCUAUCAACCCUACUUUUUUCAAUACCUUAAAAGUUCCUAUGGACCUUGGGGAUAACU
rnacentral:lncRNA from 1 species